UGUUUUUCCACUGAAGUUUAAAUUGGGAAAGCAUAAAGAAUUAUUUGUUUUAAAUUUAAUUUAUUUUUGUCCACUCACUCUAACGUUAUUAAAUGUCUUGACCUGGGCCCUUUGUUUUAAAAUGCCCAGUCUGCAGAGUUCGGGUUGGAUCUAGUUGGAGGCGAGGCAUUGUCACCCGCAUUUCCACCACUUUUCAUCCGUAGGUUACCUGUUUAACCUACCUGUGAUUUCUUACUUCCGCUAGUGUCUAGUAGCUCUGAAUACUUGGGUUUAAUGUAUAUUAUUUCGGUUGUGGGCGAAGGCUUGUUGACAUUUUAGAAUAUUUGUCGGAGGAUUUAUGUCAUCUUAUUUGGAUAAUUAUGUGUUGAUUUGGAAGAUGUUAUAUUAUUUUCUGUUAUUGGUGGUGGUUGUAUUUGGGGAGCACGUAGGCUCCAGAAGUUAAGGUUGGAUUGAGAAUUUUAGAAGUGUUUGCAGGUUUUCUUUAGAAGGGGUUGUCCAUUUUCAAUGGAGGUUAUGCCGAAUUUUCGGUAAUAUAUUCCUUAGAGGUGGUCCCCACAAGAUUUACUCCAGGUUUUAGGGUAAAAUUCGGGGUGGGUCUUGUCACUCCACACCAAUGUGUCAUUAUCGUCUCUUCUAGACGAGUGGCAUGUGUCUCUACCCUCAGGCGAGGUAAUGAGAAUAGAUUGGGUGUUUAAUGGUUGUGAAGUUCUAGUGGAGGGAUUUAAUUUCAAGGCAAUUCCAUUAGAUAUUGUGGAGUUUGGUGUGAUCUUGGGAAUGGACUUUUCAGAGGCAUAUAGAGCUAUGAUAGAUUGUUUUCGAAAAGUAGUAGUGUUUCAAAGUCCAGAUGGACCUGAAGUUACAUUCACUAUGCCAUUUCUUGCAUCAUGCGACACAAAUGUUGUGUCGCCUGAUAAAAAUCGUAAGUUUCGCCUUCUAACAUGUCGUUGAUGAGGUUCUCUGAUGACAUAAAUGUUGUGUCGCCUAUAAGAACCUCAGGCGACAAAAGACUUUUUUCAUUUUGUGUCGCCUUAAUUGAGAUAAGACGACAUGGUAUAUAUGUCGCCUGAUAGUUUAAACAACGACAUGCUAGAAGGCGACGUAUCUUUUUUUUGCCGUGAGGCGACACAUCUCUUUGUGUCGCCUUAUAACUACGAGAGAGAGAAAUACGCCUUACAACAAUAUAUAGGUGUAGGUUAAUUUGUUUAAAGACGACAUUUAAACAUCAUCUGAAAAUGUUACAGGCGACAUAUACUUGAUGAAUUAGAAUUUAAACUUUUCCACGCUACAUUUAUGUGUCGCUGGAUGAACCCACACGACACACUAUUGAUGUUGUUUCUGGUCUAGACGUAGUACGACGACACAUAUGCAUUGGGCGAAUGAUCUUCAGGCAACAUAUAUUUUUUCUUUUUUCAUUUGGUCUCUUUAAGACAAUAGGUAUCUGUCGUCUGAUAUGCUUUAAGCUUUCACUACGUGAUAUCUUUUAGGCUUUCGACAUUUCCAGGCGACAUUUUUCUAUCGUAUGAAUGAGCUUGAGCUACAUACAAGUGAUGUCUUCUUUUGAUUUAAAUCGAAUGUACUGUACAAUUAGUAUACAAAAUUGUACUAUUUGUAUACAGUUUCAAAUAAAUUACAACAUAAGAAAAGACAUAAAUCUAAUUUCUUCAUGUUUCCUCUCCGAGGCUAGAUCUGCUGCCCUCAAUAUUGACCAAACAACAAGCCCCUUUUUUACAAGCCACUUGCUGGAAAUUUGCCAUGACCUCCCUGUAUUCUUCUAAAUACCAAGUUAUCGACAUAUAGCACCAAAGACAACGAAAUUAGCCACAACUCAAUUCAAAAACCACAACACAGUAACAACACAUCAAUUCAAAUUGUAAUCCUUACCUCCAAAUCCGCUCAAAAACUAACCCUGAAACUUCUGCUUGCCCGAUUUUCCAAUGCAUGCAACAUAACGAUCAAGUCAGUCUUCUUAACAACACCCCAAAUAUCACAAACCAAGCAGCAAUCACAAAGGCGAAUGUUUUACCUUUUGAAGACCGACCAGAGUCCCUGAUUAGGAAUUCGAGCCUCCGUUCCAAUCCCAAACCACGACUGCUGCUCUUAAAUCCCUCCAAGGCGCGACUGGGCUUCACCUAAGAGCUACACACUCGUCGGAUUUUAGGUUCGGGUUUACUCCCAACACAACAACAACAACCCUCAUAGCAUCCCCGGUGUUGGUUUGGUAUUCAGAAAGAUGAGACGAAUUCGAGAAGGGGAAGAAUGACGCCGAGAAACCUCGCCUGAGACUCUCCGAAAAAACCCGAAAAAACCCGGAAAAACUUAAUUGGGGAUAUCUCCGAUUAGGGCACGAGUUAGAGAAACAACAUCACAGAAAGGAAGAGGGAACUGAGAAGGAGAAAGACCUUACCAUCGACCAACUAGACGAUGGCCGGAAACGCCGGAAUUCCGAGAAGACAACCGGGUUCCUCCUCCACCGAUCUCUCUCAUCUAUGGCUCUACAAACGAUUUAAGGGUUGGGUUAGCUAGGUAGAGAAAAGGAAGUCGAACGUUUUGAUGGUGGUCUCGCGGUGUGCGGUGGCCAGAGACGACGGCGUCAGGCGGAGGACGCCACUGACGCAGGCGAUGUCGAGAGGAGAGGGAGAGAAGAACGGGUCAACGCCCGUAAUGGCUUUUGACUGAAGUCAGCCCCCUCUUUUCCUUUUUAAUACCCAAACCAACAGCCAAGAUUUAAAAAUUUGGUAUUCAAAUUUCAAAAAAUUUAGAAUUGCGCCUUUUUUUUUUUAGGAAUUGCGCCUCUUUUCCUUAACCUAACAUACGAACAUAUUAAUUUGUCUAGGUACAAAAUCAAAUGUUGGGGGGAACCAAACUCAAUUGUUGAGGGUAUUCCCUCUAAAGGUAUUUCAGAAACUAAAAAGUAACUAUAAGACAACACAUAAAUGUUGUCCUAUUAACAAAAAAAAUUUGUCUGCAAAAUGAAAUUGUUUGGAGGGAAUCCACCUAAGUUAAAAUUAAGGCUAGGGUUUCGUUUACCUCCAAAGUCAGAAAUUACACUAUUCCAGUAUCAGCCAACACAAAAAUGAUGUCUUAUUAACAAAAAAAGUUGUCUGCAAAAUCAAAUGAUUUGGAGGAAUCCACCUAAUAAGUUAAAAGGCUAGGGUUUACCUCCAAAGUCAGAAAUUACUAAAUUUCAGUAUCAGCUAACACAUAAAUGUUGUCUUAUUAACAUAAUUAAGUAAAAUUUUCACACAAGUUGUCAAUUCAUAAAAAUUCAAUAUCAGACAACACAUAAAUGUUGUUGGAUUAACAUAAUUAAGUAAAAUUUUCAUACAAGUUGUCAAUUCAAUAAAAUUCAAUAUCAGCCAACACAUAAAUGUUGUCUUAUUAACAUAAUUAAGUAAAAUUUUCACACAAGUUAUCAAUUCAUAAAAAUUCAAUAUCAGACAACACAUAAAUGUUGUCGGAUUAACAUAUUUAAUAAAAUUCUCACACAAGUUGUCAAUUCAAUAAAAUUCAAUAUCAGCCAACAAAUAAAUGUUGUUUUAUUAACAUAAUUAAGCAAAAUUUUCACACAAGUUGUCAAUUCAUAAAAUUCAAUAUCAGACAACGCAUAAAUGUUGUCGGAUUAACAUAAUUAAGUAAAAUUUUCAUACAAGUUGUUAAUUCAAUAAAAUUCAAUACAAGUUGUCAAUUCAAUAAAAUUCAAUAUCAACCAACACAUAAAUGUUGUCUUAUUAACAUAAUUAAGUAAAAUUUUCACACAAGUUGUCAAUUCAUAAAAAUUCAAUACCAGACAACACAUAAAUGUUGUCGGAUUAACAUAAUUAAGAAAAAUUUUCACACAAGUUGUCAAUUCAAUAAAAUUCAAUAUCAGACAACACAUAAAUGUUGUCGGAUUAACAUGAGUAAAAUUUUCACACAAGUAUUGGUCAAUUUGAAAAUCCCUCCAAAAGUUGAGAAAAAAUAACCUUCAUAGUUAGACGACCUAUUAGUGUUGUCCGAAUGUAACUUUUAUUUUGACAAUUGAGACUAAAACAGACAUCUUUCUUCACCAACAUAUAUGUAUUGUCCCAAAAACAUACAUUUUUUUCAAAGAAAAUUAGUAUUGUCUAAGUGUAUAUUUCACCGACACAAAAAAAAAAUGUGUCGCCCCGAAGCCUCGAACCAUACAUAAUUUUGUUUGUGUCGCCUGAUGGGUGUUGCCUGAUGCAGGAAAUGGCAUAGGGAUUUCAAGGGGAACGGGAUGUUAUUUCAAGUUACCUAAUAUCAGCUGUUGCUGCUAGAAAAUUGUUAAAUAAAGGUUGUCAGGUGUAUUUAGCACACAUUGUGGAUACAGGUGUGGGAGUUUUAGGAGUGAAGGAUAUGCCUGUAGUGAGGGAGUUUCCAGAUGUUUUUCCCGAGGAGUUGCCUGGUUUGCCUCCUGUAAAGUAGAUAGACUUUACUAUUGAGUUACUUCCCGGAACUAUGCCUAUCUCACAAGCAUCUUACAGAAUGGCUCCAACGGAAUUGAAAGAGUUGAAGACUCAAUUACAAGAGUUGGUGGACAAGGGUUUUAUUCGGCCUAGCAUGUCUCCAUGGGGUGCUCCGAUGUUGUUUGUUAAGAAGAAAGUUGACACCAUGAGAUUAUGCAUUGAUUACAGGAAACUAAAUCAAGUUACUGUGAAGAAUAAAUAUCCACUGCCCCGCAUUGAUGAUUUAUUCGAUCAAUUGAGAGGUGCUACUGUCUUUUCAAAAAUCGAUUUGAGAUUGGGAUAUCAUCAGUUGCGGAUUGGGGAGAGUGACAUAGCCAAGACUGCUUUUCAAUUACGUUAUGGUCAUUAUGAAUUUGUGGUGAUGCCGUUUGGAGUUACUAAUACACCCGCUGCGUUCAUGGACCUCAUGAAUUGGGUGUUUAGUCCAUACCUUGACGGUUUCAUGAUCGUAUUUAUAGAUGACAUCUUAGUCUACUCAAGAAGUGAGAAGGAGCAUGCCAAACAUCUAAGAAUGAUAUUGCAGACUUUGAGAAAUGCUCAGCUGUAUGCUAAGUUCAACAAGUGUGAAUUUUGGCUAGAUAAAGUGGGGUUCUUAGGACAUGCGGUUUCGGCAUAAGGGGUUAGUGUGGAUUCCCAAAAGGUGGAAGCAAUAACAAAUUGGAGAAGACCUGCCACUGUGAUGGAGAUCCGUAGUUUCUUGGGGUUAGCAGGUUAUUAUCAACGUUUUGUGUAAAACUUUUCAAAGAUUGCUGCUCCUCUUACAAGAUUGACCGAGAAGGGUGUUAAGUUUGAAUGGUCAGAUCAGUGUGAGCAAAGUUUUCAAGAAUUAAAGAAUCGCCUGACUUGUCAAGACCCACCCCGAAUUUCACCCUGAAACCCGAAGUAAAUCCUACGGGGACCACCUCCAAGGAAAAUUUACCGAAAAUUCGGCAUAACCUCCCUUGAAAAUGGACAACCCUUACUAGAAAUACCUGCAUUGUCACAUCCCGACCCUUAAAUUUUUACCUUAUUUACUAGCUUGGUUAUAAUAAGAAUUUUACCGUCUCCGUCAUUGAGGUUAUGGUUUAAUUGGUCCCUAGAGGGGUUUCGGGGACGGUUAUGCUUGGAGGAUUAUUAGUAGGAGAAAAAUACGACAACGGUAAAAAUGGUGAAUUUUAGCUAGUAAAAGGUAAUUUUUAUUCGGGUAUUAUUUUUUCGGGGUGUUUUAUUUUUGGAGUUGGGUAUAAGUGUGGUGUUGGGCCGGUUUGGGUGGAGGCCCAAAACCCAUUUCUCCCUUCUCUCGUUUUCUUCCCGGUUCUUCCUCUCCCCCGAGUCCACCCGCUACCCGACUUUCCGGCUAUCCUCCCGCCGCCGUCCGGUCACCAAUCGUCGCCGCACUGGUCCCGUUCGAUCGGCCUCCGACCCAGCUUCCAUUCUAGGCUGGUGAGAGCCGCCCUAGCUCCGCCGUGAAGGAGUUCUCUCCCUCGAAAGGCUCGGCUGCCUUGGUGGUUCCAUCGCUGGAACUUCCUCCUCCGGCCACCAAUCCGGGCAAGCCUUGUACUGUUUUAAAGGUUUCCAACCCAGCCGCCUUGCCCUAAAAGGACUCACUCCGAUUUGCUUUAGGUAAGGAGAAAUUUGAGGUGGAAGUUCUAGGGCGUUUUUUAUGUUUCUGUUCGAUUGGCAUAGCUAGGCAUGGAUUUUGGGUUUGUGCUAGUUAGGAAAGUUGUAGAGGGAGUGGAGAGGAAGCUAAUGUUAAAAUUUGGUAGGAUUUAGAGGUCGUCGGAGUCGGCCUCCUGCCGGCGGAGCAGGCGGCGCCGCUGUUUGGGAGAUUUUUAUGGUUUUAAAUGUAGAAUAUUUAGGGGAGUUUAUUGUUAUGAAUUAUGGAAUUUUUGGAUGAGUUUUUGAUAGGUUUGUGAAUUUCCGAAGUUUGGUAAUUUUGGCGAAUUAAUAAUGUAGAAUCCGGCCGUUGGAUUAAAGUCGUAUAAUCUGUGGAAGAGUGUAAUUAAGGCUGGUGGUUUUAGUAUUGAGGUGUGGACCGUAUCGAAGUUAGGCAUUAAUGAGCGUGUGUAUGGCUCUCAGUUAAUUUUGCAUAUUUUGUUUAAAUAUUAUAUUUUUAGUUGGGAAAUUAAUUAUAUAUAUUUGUGUCAGAGUUCGAGGAAACCUCAUUGGAGUGGCGAUUUGGAUUUCGUCGGGCUUAUGCCUAGAGUUGUGAGUGGACGUUUGUUUUAAUUGAAAAGCAUGCGAUGAAUUAUUUUGUUGAUAAUUUAUUUCUUCUGAUGAGACUUAUUGAUUUCUCGGUUAUUUGGCAAUUCUUCCUCCUUUGGAGAGUUCUCGAAAAUGAGAUUUUUGGUGCAUAUGUUUAUUGGAUGUUAUGAGUAUAGUAUGUAUAUAAAUACUAGCUAGCCCUACGUGCUUGGUCCGUCAUAAUGAGGUAAAAUGCCAUUAUGGCGUGACGUGAGUGUUAGACACAAGUGUCAUAACCCUAUAUGAAAACUACUUUCUUUUCUGGUUUAUUUAGGUUUUCAUAUAGGGAGUCCACACGUAUAUAUACACCGUCCUCUUCGGUCAUAAUGAGGAAAAAUUCUAUUAUGGCGCGACGUGAGCGUUAGACGCAAGCGUCGUAGCCUUGUAUGAGUUUCUAUUUUUCUAAGUUGUUCAUAGAAUUUAUACAAGGAGUCUGACGAGUGUAAAUACAGACACGUAUAUGUCUAUAUAUAGUUUAGCCUGAGAGGCUCCAUUUUAUUUGAGUUGGUGACUAGCCGGAGCUAGUCGUGAAAUUGCCAAUUUUUGAGCUGAGCGUUUUUGGGCGGACGUAUGCAGUAUAAUUUCUUUGGAAAUUAAAAUGGGAAUGCACAAAUAUUUUUUUUUAAUUUAUUUUUGUCCACUCACUCUAACGUUUUCAAAUGUUUUCCCCUGGGCCUUUCGUUUUAAAAAUGCCCAGCUUGCACGUUAGCUUAGUUGAGGUCGGGCGUACAUGGAGAUGAGGCAUAGUCAUCAUAUAGCUUCCGCUUGUUAAUUAAUUAUGUUUCAUUUCUUCCUCUUAGAAUUGCUUUGAACCUAUAAAGGGUUGAAUAUGAGAUUUGUUUAGAUUAGUAAUUAAUUUGGGUGGUGUUGUGAUUUGGGGAGCACGAAGGCUCCAGGAGUUUAAGGUUGGAUUUAAAUUUUCAGAAGUGUUUGCAGGUUUUAUUAGGAAGGGUUGUCCAUUUUCAAGGGAGGUUAUGCCGAAUUUUCGGUAAACUUUCCUUGGAGGUGGUCCUCGCAGGAUUUACUUCGGGUUUCAGGGUAAAAUUCGGGAUGGAUCCUGACAGUUGGUAUCAGAGCACUAGGUUAUUCGAUUGCUUUCUCUUUUUAGUACUACCUCAUAUUAUUGGUCAUACUUAGUGUCUAUAGAGUGAUGGUCCGACCGCAGCGGAUCUAUUAGCAUUAUAUGCUUUAGACAUUAUGUGUUUAUUAAGUUUAUGAUGUAGUUGUUCUUAUCUUGUUUAUGGACAGUAUUGUACCAUAAAUGUCUAUAUCUCUAAGACUAUGCCUCCAUACGCUGACCUCUUAAGUAAAUCUUUAUGCUGUGAGUAAUGAAAAUGUGUAUGGAUCACCCCUUUUUCCAAGGUUAUCGAGUUGAUAUCAUAAAUUGUUAGAGUUCAAUUCCGAGAUGUGAACUCAUAUGCGUGGCAGCAUUCCUUUCUUGUGAUCAAUGAUUGUUUGGGUUAUGAUUAAGAUGCUAGGGUGAGCAUCUCGUGCGAAUGUGUAGAAGGUGAAAAGUUUAAUUCAAGCCUUGGAAUUUACUAAUUAUAGUGGGCAAGUGUGAAGUUGUUGUAGUCCGAUAGAAAAAUCUUGGCUUCGAGUUAUGUGACACGACCCACCCCGAAUUUCACCCUGAAACCCAGAGUAAGUCGUGCGGGGACCACCUCCAAGGAAAAUUUACUGAAAAGAUUAAGAAAAUCUCCCUUGCAGAUGGACAACCCUAACUCGAAAAUUUCAUAUUACACUCUUAAUUUAACACUUCUGAACAUCACAUAAUAUACAAAAAUUCUAAAGUAUUCAGAGCUACUAAACACAAGCGGAAGCAAGAAAACACGAGUAGGUUGAACAGGUAACCUACUGGCGAAAACUGGCAGAAAUGUGGGUGACUAUGCCUCGUCUCCUACUAGAUCCAACCCGAACUCUGCAGACUGGGCAAUUUAAAACGAAGGGCCCAGGGGAAAACAUUUAAUAACGUUAGAGUGAGUGGACAAAAAUAAAAUAAUAAUUAAAAUAUUUAUGUUUCCCCAAAUUAAAUUCUAAGGAAAAAUCGAAUGCAUGCCGCAAGCGACAAAACUUUUAUCCCAUAAAAUAUCGAGCCUCUCAGACUCUAUAAUAUAUGUAUGUAUUUACACACGUCCAUACUCCCUAUAUAAAUUCAUGGGUCUAUAUAGGGCUACUACGCUCGCGUCCAACGCUCACGUCACGCCUUAAUGCGGUGCUACACUACGCCAUCAAG
rnacentral:lncRNA from 1 species